rnacentral:rRNA from 1 species
CCUACGGGUGGCAGCAGUGAGGAAUAUUGGUCAAUGGGCGCGAGCCUGAACCAGCCAAGUAGCGUGAAGGAUGACUGCCCUACGGGUUGUAAACUUCUUUUAUAAAGGAAUAAAGUGAGGCACGUGUGCCUUUCUGUAUGUACUUUAUGAAUAAGGAUCGGCUAACUCCGUGCCAGCAGCCGCGGUAAUACGGAGGAUCCGAGCGUUAUCCGGAUUUAUUGGGUUUAAAGGGAGCGUAGGUGGGUUGUUAAGUCAGUUGUGAAAAUUUGCGGCGCAACCGUAAAAGUGCAAUUGAAACUGGCAGUCUUGAGUACGGGAGAGGUAGGCGGAAUGCGUGGUGUAGCGGUGAAAUGCAUAGAUAUCACGAAGAACUCCGAUUGCGAAGGCAGCCUACU